GCAUAAGACCCGGCUGCAGGGCAGCGUCCGGCGGGGAGAGGACCGGGUCCAGCCAGGCCUGGGAUGAAGACAGGACUGGAAGUGUUGCCGGAUGAACAGGCAGGCUUGAGCAGCUUGGCAGGGCAUCCCGGAGCUUCCCGAAGGAGCCGCUGCGCCGCAAGGAGCCGCUGCCGUCCUGCAGGGAGGCCGACA